rnacentral:sRNA from 1 species
ACUAGUACAGGUAGAGAUACGCUGUAUACUCACGUAACCGAAUUAACGUUUAAACGAUAUGUAAUAUCGUCGGCCGUGGGGCCACCGCAAGGUGGCUUUUUUUAA